rnacentral:lncRNA from 1 species
GGAUUGUCUUGAUUGCCUCUGUCAUCAUCAGUCAUAUUCAGGUACUGCGCGUUGGUUUUGCAGCAAAAUUUUAUUCAUACUCUCUCAGAAAAUGUGAUAACUGAAAUGUUUAUACCAGUUUUGCAGUAAUGUCAGAAAAAGUCGUCAUUUACCUGAAAGUGUCCACAGAAACAGGGUAGAAGAUCUGGGGUGUUCGGUGUGUGAGAAACCAAAGGAUUGAGGAGAUAUACCAGCCGUAGUAAACGACGACUUUGGGGCUACUAAAGAAAAAACAUCAUCUGUAAAUGCUUAUUUCUGUAAUUAUGAAAUAAAUACAGUGUAUUUUAUUUGGUUCUAGAUAAACCAAAUAAACUUGCCACCUAGUUUAUAGCCAGCAGCAGAUAGAUCAUUGGC